GACGAACGCUGGCGGCGUGCUUAACACAUGCAAGUCGAACGAUGAAGCCGGAGCUUGCUCUGGUGAAUUAGUGGCGAACGGGUGAGUAACACGUGAGUAACCUGCCCUUGACUCUGGGAUAACUGCGGGAAACUGUAGCUAAUACCGGAUACGACCCUCGGAGGCAUCUCCUGGGGGUGGAAAGAAUUUCGGUCAAGGAUGGACUCGCGGCCUACCAGCUAGUUGGUGAGGUAAAGGCUCACCAAGGCGACGAGGGGUAGCCGGCCUGAGAGGGGGACCGGCCACACUGGGACUGAGACACGGCCCAGACUCCUACGGGAGGCAGCAGUGGGGAAUAUUGCACAAUGGGCGCAAGCCUGAUGCAGCAACGCCGCGUGAGGGAUGACGGCCUUCGGGUUGUAAACCUCUUUUAGCAGGGAAGAAGCGAAAGUGACGGUACCUGCAGAAAAAGCACCGGCUAACUACGUGCCAGCCGCCGCCGUAA
rnacentral:rRNA from 1 species